GUCCUGUGUGUCUGUCUCAGUUAAUAGCAUCACUGUCCAUUCUGUUGCCCAAACUUGAGUCCUGCUCAUGAUUCUUGCCUCUCCCCACUCCGCCCAUCAGCAUCAUCCAGCCCUGUUGAUCCCAACCUCUAAACAUCCCUGGAGUCCACCCACUUUCCUGGUGCCUGGCUGCCUUGUCCCUGGUCCAGGCCACAUGAUCUUUCAUGCACUAUUGCAACCACCUUCUGCUAGCUGGCAUUGCUGCUCCUGGUCUUACCCUCCCACCCAUUCUCAUCCAAUCCAUUCCCCACACAGCAGCCAGAGAGAUCCUUGUAGGAUGCAAACUGGGUCACAUUCUUCUGAUUAAGACCCUGUGAUUGCUCUUCAUUUCCCUUCAAAUAAAGUCCAAAUUCUUGAACAAAGCUUAAAAAGCCUUCAUAAUCCAACCUCUGCUUCCUUCUCCAGCCUCAUUUGGGACCAUUCUCCAUUGCACCUCCAGCCUCCAGUUACUCAAAGUCUUUCAGUUCUCUCCUCUGUACCUCCCUCUGACUGCCCACCACUCACUGGACCAGCACCCAGAUUGAGCAACUCCCCUAUCCCUCCACUCCAACCCAGAGG
rnacentral:lncRNA from 10 species